rnacentral:rRNA from 1 species
UACGGAGGAUGCAAGCGUUAUCCGGAUUUAUUGGGUUUAAAGGGUGCGUAGGCGGCUUUUUAAGUCAGCGGUGAAAUUUUGCAGCUUAACUGUAACAGUGCCGUUGAUACUGGGGAGCUAGGAUUUGGUUGCUGUGGGUGGAAUGUGUGGUGUAGCGGUGAAAUGCAUAGAUAUCACGAGGAACUCCGAUUGCGCAGGCAGCUUACUAAACUACUACUGACGCUCAGGCACGAAGGCGUGGGGAUCAAACAGGAUUAGAUA